CAAAGUAAUGUCUCUGCUUUUGAAUAUGCUAUCUAGGUUGGUCAUAACUUUUCUUCCAAGGAGUAAGAGUCUUUUAAUUUCAUGUCUGCAGUCACCAUCUGCAGUGAUUUUGGAGCCCCCAAAAAUAAAGUCUGACACUGUUUCCACUGUUUCCCCAUCUAUUUCCCAUUAAGUGAUGGGACCAGAUGCCAUGAUCUUCAUUUUCUGAAUGUUGAGCUUUAAGCCAACUUUUUCACUCUCCUCUUUCACUUUCAUCAAGAGGCUUUUUAGUUCCUCUUCACUUUCUGCCAUAAGGGUUAGGUUACCUCAAAAAUAGAAUGAACCACAGCCAUAGGUAGAACAUGGCCCAAGCACUCCCAUCAUAUCUUCUUUCUUCUCAUUUUGGAGGCUCUACACCACCCUGCACAGGUUCCAGCUACAAAGCCAGUGGUGACACCAAGGGGACACUGCACCUCCAGCUGCCAGUGAAGCAGAGACAGAGCAAACAGUUUGGAGAAGAGUUGGAUUUCCAGGUGGCGCUAGCGGCAAAGAUUCUGCCUACCACUGCAGGAGAUGCAGGAGAUGCGGGUUCAAUCCCUGGGUUGGGGAGAUCCCCUGGAGGAGGACAUGGCAACCCAUUCCAGUAUGCUUGCAUGGGAAAUCCCCUGGACAGAGGAGCCUGGCAGGCUACAGUCCAUAGGGUCACAGAGUCAGACAUGACUGAAGUGACUGAGAUACACAUGCACAACCAAACCAUAAUUCAGAAUAUCUGCUUUCUAGUUCUGGCACUGCCACCUGCCAAACAUAACACCAUCAUCAGACACUUAACUCUUCUGAACCACUCUUUCUUUAUCUGUAGCAAGAUAUGGGUGUGA
rnacentral:lncRNA from 1 species